rnacentral:rRNA from 1 species
UACGUAGGGGUCGAGCGUUGUCCGGAGUUAUUGGGCGUAAAGCGCGCGCAGGCGGUUGAUCGAGUCUGACGUGAAAGUUCCCGGCUCAACCGGGAAAGGUCGUUGGAUACUGGUCGACUUGAGGACGGCAGGGGUUGGUGGAAUUCCCGGUGUAGUGGUGAAAUGCGUAGAGAUCGGGAGGAACACCCGUGGCGAAGGCGGCCGGCUGGGCCGGACCUGACGCUGAGGCGCGAAGGCGUGGGGAGCGAACGGG